UACAGAGGCCUCGAGCGUUAGGCGGAAUCACUGGGCUUAAAGCGUGUGUAGGCGGGCGGGCAAGUACCUUGUGAAAUCCCACGGCUCAACCGUGGAACGGCUGGGGAUACUGCCUGUCUUGAGCCAACUAGGGGCGAGCGGAACAGACGGUGGAGCGGUGAAAUGCGUAGAUAUCGUCUGGAACGCCAAAGGUGAAAACAGCUCGCUGGGGUUGUGCUGACGCUGAGACACGAAAGCCGGGGGAGCGAACGGG
rnacentral:rRNA from 1 species